rnacentral:tRNA from 1 species
CAAUUUAAAUUCUAUAUAAGAAUUUUCAUUUACAUUGAAAUUAAAAUUGUGUGAAUCAGUUUAAAUUGA